UACGGGGGGAGCAAGCGUUGUUCGGAUUUACUGGGCGUAAAGGGCGCGUAGGCGGUCGUGACAAGUCACUUGUGAAAUCUCCGGGCUUAACUCGGAACGGUCAAGUGAUACUGUCGGACUAGAGUACAGAAGGGGCAACUGGAAUUCUCGGGUGUAGCGGUGAAAUGCGUAGAUAUCGAGAGGAACACCUGCGGCGAAGGCGGGUUGCUGGGCUGAUACUGACGCUG
rnacentral:rRNA from 1 species